rnacentral:misc_RNA from 1 species
AAAGUCGUAACAAGGUUUCCGUAGGUGAACCUGCGGAAGGAUCAUUACCGAGUAUAGGGGCCUCCCUCGUGGAGGCCCCGAACUCCCACCCCGUGCUUACGUACCUCCGUUGCCUCGGCGGGCCCGCCUGGGGACUCCUCGCGAGUCCCCCGGGCAUCCGGCCCUCGCGCUGGACAGCGCCCGCCAGAGGACCAACCAAACCCGUUUUUACCGGCAGUCUGAGUAAUAUAACAAAUAAGUUAAAACUUUCAACAACGGAUCUCUUGGUUCUG